UGAGGUCAGUGCAGUUAAAUCUUUAUUCAAGGAAACCCUAGCCCAAGCUUAAUGGGCUCAGCCGCUCUUUCUAGGAGGCCUUGGUCUGAUGAGGCAAAUGAAGCUGCCCAAGAAUAGUGCAAGUGGAUGCCAGUCUCAGCACAGGAUUAUCCUAGUUUAAUAGACAUUCACUUUCCUGAGAAAGUGUGGUAAUUGUAGUUCUGUGAGAGGGUUUGAGUCUUCAAGAGAAUGCUCAGCAGCCUCAGCAAACUACAGUUCGCAGGAUUUCAGGGGGUAGAAGGAGUUGUGGCAGUCAAACUGCUAUAAAAUUAUGUAAGCUUCUAUCGCAAAUAUUCCUUCCAGAGUGGAUGCUUACCCCUUCCUCCGGGUGGGUGGUUGUUGCGGAUCCCCAUGCUCGGUCACCAUCCUUGGACAGCUAGAACAGAAUGCUCAUGGCCAGGUGGCCAUUGAGGGAAUUCCCCCUGGCCGCAUGGAUAGCUGGCUCAAGUUCCCGCCAGCUGCUGCACCUCAAAUUGGCCAAUGUGUGGCCUGUUCUGGGGGGUGUGCCUCUCUGGCAGAAAGGGCAUUGGCUGCACGCACACCCAGGCAGUUGGUGAGGCAUAAAAGCUGGCUGCACCUUAAUAUGCCUUCCAGAGCUGCAGAAGAUGUCCAAGACAAGAGAGCAAGUCUCAUGGAAUUUAGGGACUUGUGCCUCACUGAAUGCACCAAAGAUUACAGUUCACAUGUGUCCCCUCUCUUCCAGCUCUAAUGGCCAGCAUGGACAUUUCUUUGACUGGAUCACACUCUUCACUCCACUAACACUUCGUGGAAGGUCCCAGGCUUGGUAGUUUAGGUGCCUGGAGGCAAAGGGCAGCUGGCCAGAGCUUUAGAUGUGUCAGCAGCUGCAGAAGAAUAAUCUCUGGAGGGACAGUGCUGCCAGGAAGCAUCCCUAGGUGCAACCUUCCCAAAACUCACAUGCCUUUGCCUGUGUACAUGUGUAUAAAAGUAUUUUUGGAACUGGCUGUACACUCUUAUUUGUAGUGUGAACAGUGAUGGCUUAGGCUUCCAUCGCAGUUCAUUCAUUUUCAUAUGAAAGCAGGAUGUUCCUUUGGUACGUUGCAAAACUGGAUUGAAGGGACUUGCUGGGUGGUGGGGGACUCUUUCAAAUGAUCAAAUGUUCCUGUGCAAAUAUACUGUUAUGGGAUUGUGGCUGGUCAGGUGUCUUCUCAUAAAUGUAAACAAUAAGAGUGGUAAUAUUCGGGGUCGACACAUUCAAAAUGCACUUAACUAAAUCAUGACUAUAAAGUCCAUUGCUUUCAGUGAGUCUGCUCAAAGUGUGACUCAGUCAGCUGUCUCUCUGAACGAAUAUGGGGUUGCCCCUGUAGAUGGUCCUUUGGACAUCCUCGCUUACUCCCAAAUGGGCUAAGUCCACCUUGCUAUACCUGGGAGCCCUCCUGCUCAUUCUGCUGAAAGUGGCCCUGGACCUCUUCCCUAAAGUCAUGCUCUGGUGAUACCUCCAGAUCCAUCAUUUGAUUAAGAGAUAUGAUUUUUAAAAUUUUAAAAAGCCUAGUACAUACUUGCCAAAUAUCAAUUUUUAAGGUUCGACUUAAAGCGCUUCUUUGCUCUUGAAUCUGAGUGAAACUUAAUGUAACUUGCAUGUCAGAGUGCAGAACAGAUUCCCAAGGCAAGUGGUGGAACCCUGUUGCUUGAGACUCUUAAAAGUGGAUUAGACAGCAGACUCAGAAUUGCCCUGUAGGGAACAAUCUCGCAUUGACAGUGUGAUGGAAUAGAUGACCUCAUAGUACAGCUGUGUGUGUGAGAGAAAAAUGUCUAAUAUACGAGUUUUUCUUCUCCCAUGAAGCUAUGCAGUGAUAAACCGCCAAAGAAAUAAACUUAGACAUAUAGUGUGAUCUUGGAUGGUAAAGCUUGCCUUGUAAAGUUCCACUGCAGACCUGUUCUAUUUUCAGUCUUGCAUAUUUCCAGUUACAUUCAUUGCAUUGUAGAUAUAAUAAACAGAGAUAACCUGUUCUUCAUAUGCUCCAGAAGAACACAAAGCAUCUUCAUGCUUCUGGUUACUAUAUUUCAGAUUUUACAAGCCUAUGGGAUAAGAUUUCUUCUCUGAUCUUUGCAGUCCUGAGGUUAAUCAUACAAUAAAUCAGUGUUUCCUAGACUUUUUGGUACAUGGGACACAGUCCUCCUCUGGAUUGCAACUGGAGCUUCACUCUUGCACUUAUUCCCAAUGGUCUUCUGAUUUUUCUGCUUAGGUUCUUUCCUGGGUUGAGUUCAAACAGACUUUUGUUUAGGGCCUGCUUUUGUGCAGGAGUGCAGACAGUAGGAGAUGGUACCAGCGGUGACUGGUGCCUGUUGUGACUGCUGGGGUGGAAAGCAGUGAGACCAGACGUGGGUGGAGCCACCCUCAAUGACAGAUGGAACCAUUCCCUGAUUGGCUGAAAAUAAGAAAGCCAACUGACUUUGGUGAACCUUUACAAACCAGCCUCCACUGGCUACCAGUAUGGCAGAGCCAUGGAGCUGCCGUCCUGACUCCAGCUUACCUGGAGAGGACUGCAGGGAGGUUGGGCUGCACAGGCCCACCACACACAUCCCCAACCUCACAACCGCCCUGCCCCACACCAGUCCAGGUAAGUUGCAGUGAUGUUGGUGUUGGAAAGGCAGUUCCAUGGCACUACCUCACCCCACUGGACUGCUCCUGGCUACAAGAAAGGUGCAGUCCAUUUGUGUGUGUGUGUGGACAAGCUGAGUUUGAUUCCCUGGAGAGCAAUGUGGUGCAGGGGUAGGAGUGCCACACUAGGACUAAUUUUUUUGAUAAUUAUCAUAUUUUACUCUUUUUUGCAAACCGCUUAAAGGCUUUAUUAAAACCCAUCAGUACAUGAAUGUUGUGAAAAAUAUAAGACGGUCCAGAUCAGGGAUUCCACCGAACAACUCUAACGUAGAAUUCUUGACAUGCCUUGCUGAGAACUUCUUUCAGGUGGUGGAAGAAGGAAUGAGGGAAUCAACUGUCCUGGAUGAACCUAACCAAUAGGGCAGAUGUGGUUGAUGAGAUCAAAGUAGUGUAAACUGUGAGGGAAAGUGACCAUAUAAUGCUGGAAUUAUUGAUCUCAUGGAAAGCUCAUGGUGUGUGUAGUCAAACAUGUGCCUUGGAUUUCAGGAAAGCUGAUUUUAAUAAGCUCAGAAACGCUAGGUGGAAUUCCAGUGCUAGAUAAACUAAUUGGUGAAGGAAGCCUCCUAAGGCUCUGUCCUGGGCUCAGCACUCUUCAAUGUUUUUUAAAAGUUAUUAAUAGCCUAGAUGAAAGGCUGGGGGAAUCACUAUGCAAUAUAAAGAUGACACACAAUGGGGGGGGGAACAAUAGAUAACACCCCAGAAGACAGGAAUAAAAUGCAAAAUGGCUGUGAUGGAAUGGGAAACUGGACUGAAAGUAACAAAAUUUAAUUCAACAGGGACAGAUGCAUAGUUUUGCACCGGGGAAGAGAAAUCAAAUGCAGAGGCAAGGGAUUGGAACCACCUGGUUUGGCAGUACUACAUGUGAAAAGGAUCUUGGGAUAGCAGCCAAUUACAAAAUAAACAUGAUUCAGAAAAAUGAUGUGGCUUCAUAGAAGGCAAAUGUGGUUUUAGGUUCCAUCACAGAACCAUUGUUUCCAAGAUACAAAAAGUGAUAGCUCCACUUUAUUCUGCACCAGGGCCUGUCCAGAUCAAUGUUUUAUUGCAGGUGCAUUCCGCAACAUGUUCUUGACACAGUAGCGCAUUUGUGGUGGAUUUAUUCUGCUCUACUAGUUGUUGUGGGAUGCUUUCCCAGUGCUACCACGCUAUUGCUGUUUGGAGGGACAACAGUAUAACAAAAGUGGGACAAAAAGAAAUAAAUAAACCAGAACAUUUGUGGUGUAAAACGUUACAGGAUUUCCACGGAAAGCUAUCAGAUAUAACUGGAAAUAAAACAGUGUGACUGCCUCAAAACUUCCUCAGGCACAAACAGCUUUGAAAAGGGGGAUCACGUAUGACUGCCCCGAUAGAAUCAUGAGUGUACAAUAAAAAGUACACGUGGAAGGCCCCAUAGAUGAGGGGAAAGACUUGUCCUUAGCUGUCCUAGACGGUAGGACUAAAUAGAACAGGCUUAUGUACGUAGCAUGAAGGUACAUUUCAGCUGAAUAGUUUGACAACGGGGCCAAUUGUCUAGAGAGCUGGUGCACUCUUACUGGAGGGUAAAGAUGGACUUCCUAGCUUUCACUUCCUAGCUUGAGCAGAAGUUUAGAAUAGAUGGUUUACUAGACCCUCUGGCUCUGUGAUUCUGUUAAUCUCAUGGAGAGCUGCUGCCAGUUAAAGUUGAUGGUGCUGAGGUAGACAAACAGACAGUCUGACCUGGGACAGACAGCUUUCUAUGUUGCCAUCUAAGAUAGUUCCAUUUGCCCAUCUACUGUUGAAGUCAGAACUGGAAGCCCCUGCAUUAAAUGUGCCCCCACCAGAGGGAUGUUCUUUGGCCCUCAACUGUCAACUGGGAAGCACAAAGGAGACAGGAAGGAAGUUUCUAUGGGAACAUAGGAGGCGGCCUAAAACCUCAGGCCGUGGAUCCAUGGCUCCACCUCAGGACAUGGAUCUGGCUCAGUGUUGUCUACACUGACAGACUGGGUUUCAGACAUGGUUCUUUCCCUGGAGAUUGACCUUGGGUUCUUCUACAGGCAAAACAGAUGUUCUGUCACUGAGCUGUUGCCCAGUAGAAUUAGUUGGCGGCCUCUUUGAGUAUUCAGGGUUGAGCCUUUGACCUGCCAUCCACGUUACCCUCUUCAAAUGGCCAUCUGGGGGAGGGAGGGGAAAAAAGACCUGCUGACUGAGGGCAGAUUCACACCAUGCAUUUAAGGUAUAUUCAAUGCAUAUUUAAAGCACAAGGAAUCCUGGGAAGUGUAGUUUCUCCCUCACAGAGCUGUAAUUCCCAGAAUCCUUAACAAACUACAGUGGUACCUCAGGUUAAGUACUUAAUUCGUUCCGGAGGUCCAUACUUAACCUGAAACUGUUCUUAACCUGAAGCACCACUUCAGCUAAUGGGGCCUCCCACUGCUGCUGCACCACUGAAGCACGAUUUCUGUUCCAAUCCUGAAGCAAAGUUCUUAACCUGAAGCACUAUUUCUGGGUUAGCGGAGUCUGUAACCUGAAGCGUAUGUAACCCGAGGUACCACUGUACAGUUCUCAAAUUGUAUGUGCUUUGACUGGAGUGGCCCUUGACUGUCUCCUGUUGCCAUGUAGCCAAUAAAAAAAAUGGUAAGGCCGGAAAAGAGCAGAGGGCUCCUUGGCUUUUAAAAAUACGUGCCGAGGAGCCCAGUGUCCCUGGCAAGAGAAGACAGCCCAGAUCCUUUCUUCCUAAGCCUUGGUAUGCUCCUACUGUUAGCUCAGACAUUCAAACUAUGCUCAUGCAUGCUUGCUCAUACAGGUGAUUUUUCUAAUACACUAACGACAGAAGACAGCUUCUCACCCAACAUAUAAAGUCAUCUGUUAUUUUUCCAGCUAGGGAAAUUGUUAGUUUUUAAUGUUGCUUUUUCAGCUGGAACAAUUUAGCGAGCCAGGAUCAAUGUGAAAUGCUGCACAUCAAUCAUUUUCUAUGGAUCACAAACCAAAGGCGAGUAAAAGAAGAAGAAGGGGGGGGGAGAGGCUUUGCUCAUCGGCACUAAAUCAAGCACCCCGUCCGUUGCCCCAUUUUUUAUUUUUUUAUUUUUUUUGCACAGAAGGAGCAAAAUGUUUACACGAAUCGUUUUGCAUCACUUCAGUUAUAUAAUGAGAAGUAGCUUACAUUUAAAGGGUAGUAUUUCUACCACAUUACAUCUGGAAUAUGAUUCUCCAUGGAGUUGGAUCUCUUUUGGCUGUACUAACUCAUCAUGUGCUGAAGGUCUCUUAAUAUUUUUCCAUUCUAAAUAACUUCUGAAGUUGUUUAUUUUUUAUAUACAGAUGUUGUUAUGACUAUAUUGUGUGCAAGCUAGCAAUGGACAAAUUUGUUGAUGCUGGUUAUUCUCAGCUCUUAAUUUUCCCAGUCUUAAAUUCAGACCCCCUCACUACUGUAUCAAUUUGCAAUUUUCUUUAUAAAAACACCCCUGUACACAACAAUGUGCAAACAUUCUCAUGUGCAACUCUCUCAAGAUACCCAUUUUUGUACGCAAUCUUGCCUAGUAUAUGCAAUUUUCAUGAACACAUGCAUUCUUGUGCAUGUUUACUCCUAAUAUAUGCUUUUUGUCUGCCUCCUUUGGUUGGAGAACUACAUUAUGAAAUUUGGAGGAGUGCAAAUUUUGAAGGAUAGCUGUGCUUCGGCUUGCAUAUCAUUUAGAAAAAAUUAAAAUGUGGACUAAAUGACCCUCCCCCUCACAUCCUUAUGUGCAACAAUAUCUUGCUAUUCAGAAGGGAGGAGAACCCUUUAGACCAACGUUUCCGAAACUUGAGUCUACUGCUGUUUUUGGACUAUAAUUCACAUCAUCCCUGAACACUGGUACUGCUAGCUAGGGAUGAUGAGAGUUGUAGUCCAAAAACAGCUGGAGACCCAAGUUUGGAAAGCACUGCUUUAGACCAGUGAUGCCCUCCAGAUGUUGUUGGACUGUAACACUCAUCAUCCGUAAUCAUUAGCCAUGCCUACUGGGGGUGAUGGGAGCUGAAGCCCAACAGCAUCUGAAGGACCACAGGUUUUCCAUCCUUGGUUUAGUGUUGCAUCCAAACUGUGUGUAGGGGGUAGGGUCAAUGGGUGUGAUCCUGUGCCUUCCUCCAUCCAUCUCCAGUGAACGGUAUGAAGGACCAUCUUAUCAACAACUGAAUCUACACCUCAGUUAUCUUUAUCAAUGAUAUCUGAAGGACAAAACCAAAAUGUUAAAGCCAAGGACCUGCUGUUAUAUAUUUUAUUUGCAGCAUGAUUAUCUAUAGCUGAGGCAUGGAGAGCUCUUACAAACCAUUGGUUCAUUUUGCACAGUGUUGUCUACAGUCACUGAGUAUCAAUCAGCAGCUCUCCAAUGUUUCAGAAACAUCUUUCCUAGCCCAAAGUGGAGAAGCCAAAGGACUGAACCUGGGAUGUUCUGCAUGUAAAGCAUGUGUUCUUCCAUUGGGUUAUGGGUGCUUCUCCUCCUUAAGAUCUAUUAAUUGCUGUAAAUCAAACUGCAGGGUUCAUCCACACUUCUGCUCGUCCCAUUAUUUCCCUUAAACUAAUUAUAGUGACAGAGUAGCUCAGUUCUCAUAAUGAAGGCAGAGAAUGGGGAAUGAGAGGCUCCACUUCUCCACUAAGAAGGAACCUCCCAGUAGAUAAGAUGAGCCCAUGAUAAUACAGCUACCCAGCAAAGAGAAACAAGAAAGCGCUUAUUCUCAGCUGCUGAAUUGUAGACCAAAAUACUGACACACACUUUGGAGACAUGGAUAUCUUGCAUUUUGCCUUAGUCUGUAGACUGUAGGUGAUUAUGUUUCUCUCUGUAUAUUUUGAUGCACGUUUGUGAUCUGUUGUGUUAUUCUUUUUUUUUUAACCCUCAGGCUCUGCAGAAGUCUUAAAUUCAGGAGGGUAAAUCUGUGAUGUAAAUGGGCAGCAAGUUGCCCUUUUAAACUCUUAUUAUAAGAGAAUAUUGUACUGUUAAUGAAUAAUGGAAAGGGGGAGAAGAAGCUCAAGAGAAACAUUCAAACAGCAGGGCAUACAUUAUUGCAUCUCCACAGAAGCAUCUGAAGUAGCGCUUGCAAACUUAUUUAUCCUGCUACUCAACCAAAAUGAUGCAUGUCAUUUGCCAUGGCAACCCUUCCUUCAUCAUAUGUGCCUAUAUAUUGCUUCAGAUGUGUGGGCCACUUUCUUAAAAAGAAACAAACGCAUACCCAGACAUCGAUGUCACAUGAAAUCCUAUUCAUUUCACAGUGCUUUGAUGUGAAAACAUGUACCUCAGGACACAGACAUCCAUUUCUUCCCUCUGCCCCAUAUUAUUGCUGUUCUGUCUUCAAGUAUCUGUGGCAACAAUGUGUUUCAGACAGAAGUCUCCUGUUGCCCAUCUCUUUCCAAGAAGAGAUUAGUGAUACAGGACCACCCUUUGACCAAGGCGCCUCUGUUCUUCUGGUUCUAUUCGUCAGUGAGGGAGACAGUGAAGUGUGAGCUAUGUAAAUACAGAUCUCCAGGAUCUCUGGGAAAAAGGCAACCUUAAGCAGUCUUCUCCGUAAUAGGAAUGGACAAAUCUGUCAGUGUUGGUUUCUAGUAGUUUCUCGUUUUUCCAGUCUGUUUCCCCCAUUUCCCAAACAGUUUAUGGUGGUUGUUUUUAAAGAGAUCCACACAAGAAUGUGCACAUUUUGUGUAAUUUCCCCUAAGAUAUGCGUUUUGUGCACAAUUCUGUCCAAUAUAUGCAUUUCUGCAAGCAAUUUCUCCUGAUACAAUGCAUCAUUUAACAUAUAUUUUCAUGAAUGUAGUGUUUUGUAUGCACUUUCCCCUAAUCUUUGCAUUUUUAUACACAUUGUUGGGUUGGAGAACUGCAACGUAAAAAUCUGGAGAGUUCUACAUUUCAAAGAAGAGCUCAGGUUUUGUUUGCAUGCUGGUUCUGGAGCUGUGAAUUAGGGAGCACCUGUGUGAUUCUACCUAUGUGUGCUUCUAGAGGAGGUGGUGGUUUUGUGAUAUAUGGUGUGUGUGUGUGUGUGUGUGUGUGUGUGUGUGUAUGUGCGUGUGUGUGUGUGUGUGUGUGUGUGUGUGUGUAGGCUGAGCAUAAGAUGGAAGGGCCCACAGCGUUAAUACUCCAAUAGAUAUUGGUUCCUAUUAGGCAUCCAAGCCCCUGUCCCCACAAGUCAUACUUCUGGAUUCAGCACAGAGCAAGUUAAAUCUUUGUGCCUUUUCCUAGGUCAGGUUAAAGAUGAGACUUUCUCACAUUCACCAAUGAUAUCACCUCCAACUGAAGAAGGGGAGGGGAAAAAGCUUUCCCCCACCCACAUCUGCAAGUAUCUCCAGCUAGUAGCACUAGCUCUUUAGUCAUGUAAAGAGAUACCGGUAAUUAACAGACUUCUAAUUGAGGCACUAAGUCAACUAAGAGAAUCUUUUGACUACUUUAGCAGCCUCUGUUUCUACACAAUCCCAUCAUAUGGAUACAAAACAUCAAAGCCAACCCACCCAGUCUUAUAAUAAUAUUUUCAAGCAUCUGAAGAUGAGAAAAGAAAAUAGUAAGCUGUUAUAGGAUUUUCUGUUCGUGUUAGAAUAGGCCCAUGAAAGAUAACAACAUCCAUCUCCUCACUUUCACCAAGUAUAUCCUAGCUCUAGGUUUAGGCUGUAAUCCUAGUCUCACUGGAGCACUGUUAUUCUCUCUUUUUGUCUUCCUGCCAAUUUGGCGUCAAGGGCCUGCCUCAUGUCCUGUCACAGAAAUGCAUUCAGGAAAGGCCCUCACCUGGCUGUUAGCUUUGCCAUUCAUAUUUGUUAUGUUCUUUGAAGGUUGGUUUGAAGUUAAGCAGAAGCCAUGUUUCUAAUAAAUCUUAAGUAGAGACCCUUUAUGCGAAUUAACAUCUAAGUCACUCCUUGGAGGUUUUUUAAUGUUCCAAAAAUAGUUCCCAAGCUUCUGCCAAAGUAGAUGUUGCCAGAAUUUCCAUGGAAAGCAUUAUCAGUGUGGAUGGGUUGAUGCCAGUCAGGGUACAAAUAAUGGCCGCCCAAACCCUUCUCCUCUUCCUGCUUCAGCUGAUUUGUGGCAGACGGUGUGUGUGUGUGUGUGUGUGUGUGUGUGUGUGUGAGGGGGGGGAUUAUUAGGUUUUUGAAAUGAAAUCAUGCUCCCAAGUUCAGAAGAAGAUCACCAAAGCCUUCCCCUCCCCUUUUCUUUAAGUCUUUGACAAAUAUGCCUCACCAGAGACUCUUAAGGAAACCAGUCAUGGACCAAGACGUGAAAGGCUGUCAUGAGUAGUUUACAUCUGGCUGGGAGACAGAAAGCAAAAGCCAUGGAAAAAAAUGAUCAGCUGAAAGUGGCAGAAGGUGAGUGCCUUUACCAAGGGCCAAGGUUCAUGAUGGAGAAGGACCCAGAACAACAUGUCAAACUAGGAUGGCUAAUUGAAAUGCAGCAAUGACCAUUUUAAGAUGGCUCUCACCUUUGGCUCUCUCAAUCUUACCAGACUCGACUUCAGACAAUGAGCCAUUUCACAGGCACUUGGCACAUCACAAAAAACAGGAUUUGCCAACAGAUGUAGCCCUGACAGGGGUCAAUAGCCCAUCCUAGCUCCAUGACAUGCAUCAAAUUAGGUAGUUUUGCAAUGAACUGGGAGCUGAAUUAGUCAGGGAGGGGGCGGAGCAACAGCUAGCAACCAAAGGGGUGUCACCCAGGCACAGGAAGUCUGUGUUGGGUCACAAACCUCACCCACUGCUUCGAUGAGUGAGCGGUAAUUUCUUCUCCAUCCCUACUGUCAUGAUCAUCUGUUCAUCAUUGCUCUCUUUCAUAUGCACACAUAGGGUGAAAACGGAGAUCAUGAUGAAUGCUUUCUCUGCUUUUGUCCUAAACAUACAUACAAAACAGAAACAGGUCUGAACCAGAUGUGACAUGCAGUUACAUGUCUCUGCACUGAUUUCUUUUUAAAACCAAAAGCAGAUUUAGGAGGUUAAAGUUUGAGCAGAGGGAUGGUGGGUGAAGGGACUGCUCAAUCCUUUCCCUCUCCAGCUUUACUCCCAACUUGAAAGCAAACCCCCAGGCUUCAUUUCUUCAGACAUGGGGAAAAUCAAGAUCUGGUGGUGGGUGGUGGUGAUUUUGAGUGAGGAAAGGGUUAAGCAGUCCCUUCGCUCUGCUUUUUCUCCACUUGAACUCAGACUCCUGAAACUACUUUUGGUUAUAAGGAUACCAGAGGAGAAAGGAUACAUGUCACUCAAGACUAGGGAUGAAAAAAGGCAUAGUUUUCUGUUCUGCCCUGUAUCUGUUGCAUGCAGCCCUGUUCCCAUUCUGCUGUAGUUCAGGUUCCAUAAAAACCAUUAUUUUGCUCACUGUUUGUUGCAGCCAAAUUUAGUAAGGCAAUUCAUUACAUUAUUGUCAACAGAAUUAACUACACUAUAGUUAUGUGAUUCAGUACAUCAUCGACAAUGUACUGAAAAGCAUUGCAGACUCGGGGGGGGGGAAUAAUGACAGUGAAUUCCGAUUCACUGCCUGAAUCUCAAUCCUGUUUGCAGGUGGACAAGUGAACCCACUCAAUUUCUGAUGCCAUUUCCCACUUUGGUGGAAUUCUCCUACUCACAACUGCUAGUUUGGAUCAUGUGGGCAAGGCAAUGUGACCUAGAUUCAUGGAGAAGAGGGCUAUCAAAGUCAUGAUGGUUAUGCUCUACCACCGUGGUAAGGAGACUGCCUUGCUUUUGAAUGACAGUUGCUGGAAACCACAUGAGGGGAGAGUGCGCCUGUGCUUGAUGGUUUCCCAAAGACAUCUGGUUGGCCACUGUGAGAACAGGAUGCUAGACUAGAUAGGCCAUUGGUCUGAUCUAGCAGGCUUUUCUUAUGUUCUUAGAUUUCACCAGCUUUCUAGAGUAUACACCCCAAAAAAGGAGGGGGGGGGAAAGCCCAACUUGGGAAAGAAACCAGCUUUCAUUCUGACAAGUCAUUUCUUCAUACAUAUGCUAUGUAGAUGUCACCUCCCUUAGAUUAACGUUUGCUGUCUGGCUCAUCUGUAGAUUGCCCCUAAGCACAACAGAAGCAAAUGGAAGGAAAGGACCUAUUCCUGGCUGUAAGCAUCAUUCAGAUCUGCAUUUUCCAGAGAACGGAUCAAUCAGGCACAUCAUGUCCUUUGGUCACGAGCAGGAUGAAGUGUGAGGGACACAGAGAAAAUGCUUUACAGAGGCUUUGGAAAGCACUGGUGAAGGGGAAAGCUGUGAUGGACUGCACAGAUUUUCAGAUGUCUCUUUGAAGCUGCUGGGCUUUGGAGGGGAACCAAGAUGUCUAGGGAACUGCGCUUUUUCAAAACCUGGUGAAUAAGCUUCUUCUUCUUCUUUGGUUUCUCUUGAUGCAUUUUAAAGUCUUUGAAAACUCCAGUCCUAUGAGAAGCAAAGGGCUGCUUGGGAACUUGUUCUGGCUGCCGUCCUUAUAAACAAAACCUCUGUUAUCUACCAACUCAGGAGAAGCUGCCAGGUGUGAACAAAGGAAACAGUUACUUUCAGGGGAUGGGAGUCUUUGAAAAACUCUAUUCUCCCCAAACCGGAGUG